rnacentral:tRNA from 1 species
UGCCUUGUGGUGUAGCGGUUAACACGUCGGUCUCAUAAGCCGAACAGCAUGGGUUCGAAUCCCAUCGAGGCACCCU